rnacentral:rRNA from 1 species
UCAGGGAUAGCCUUUCGAAAGAAAGAUUAAUACCUGAUGGUAUGAUGAGAUUGCAUGAUAGCAUCAUUAAAGAUUUAUCGGUGUACGAUGGGGAUGCGUUCCAUUAGGUAGUAGGCGGGGUAACGGCCCACCUAGCCAACGAUGGAUAGGGGUUCUGAGAGGAAGGUCCCCCACAUUGGAACUGAGACACGGUCCAAACUCCUACGGGAGGCAGCAGUGAGGAAUAUUGGUCAAUGGACGAGAGUCUGAACCAGCCAAGUAGCGUGGAGGAUGAAGGUCCUACGGAUUGUAAACUUCUUUUAUAAGGGAAUAAACCCUCCCACGUGUGGGAGCUUGUAUGUACCUUAUGAAUAAGCAUCGGCUAACUCCGUGCCAGCAGCCGCGGUAAUACGGAGGAUGCGAGCGUUAUCCGGAUUUAUUGGGUUUAAAGGGAGCGCAGACGGGUCGUUAAGUCAGCUGUGAAAGUUUGGGGCUCAACCUUAAAAUUGCAGUUGAUACUGGCGUCCUUGAGUGCGGUUGAGGUGUGCGGAAUUCGUGGUGUAGCGGUGAAAUGCUUAGAUAUCACGAAGAACUCCGAUUGCGAAGGCAGCACACUAAUCCGUAACUGACGUUCAUGCUCGAAAGUGUGGGUAUCAAACAGGAUUAGAUACCCUGGUAGUCCACACGGUAAACGAUGGAUACUCGCUGUUGGCGAUAUACUGUCAGCGGCUUAGCGAAAGCGUUAAGUAUCCCACCUGGGGA